rnacentral:rRNA from 1 species
GACGAACGCUGGCGGCGUGCUUAAUACAUGCAAGUCGAACGGAGGCAGAGACUUCGGUUUCUGUCUUAGUGGCGAACGGGUGAGUAACGCGUGAAUAACCUGACUCAAAGAGGGGGAUAACAAUCGGAAACGAUUGCUAAUACCGCAUAAGACCACAACACCGCAUGAUGAAGGGGUCAAAGAGAUAUCGCUUUGAGAGGGGUUCGCGUCCCAUUAGGUAGUUGGAGGGGUAACGGCCCACCAAGCCAACGAUGGGUAGCCGAGCUGAGAGGCUGAUCGGCCACACUGGAACUGAGACACGGUCCAGACUCCUACGGGAGGCAGCAGUAGGGAAUAUUGGGCAAUGGGCGCAAGCCUGACCCAGCAACGCCGCGUGAGGGAAGAAGGUUUUCGGAUUGUAAACCUCUGUCCUAUGUGACGAAGGAAGUGACGGUAGCAUAGGAGGAAGCCCCGGCUAACUACGUGCCAGCAGCCGCGGUAAUACGUAGGGGGCGAGCGUUGUCCGGAAUUACUGGGCGUAAAGGGUGCGUAGGCGGUUUGGUAAGUUGGAUGUGAAAUACCCGAGCUUAACUUGGGGGCUGCAUCCAAUACUGCUGAACUUGAGUGCAGGAGAGGAAAGCGGAAUUCCUAGUGUAGCGGUGAAAUGCGUAGAUAUUAGGAGGAACACCGGUGGCGAAGGCGGCUUUCUGGACUGUAACUGACGCUGAGGCACGAAAGCGUGGGGAGCAAACAGG